rnacentral:rRNA from 1 species
GACGAACGCUGGCGGCGUGCUUAACACAUGCAAGUCGAACGGUGAAGGGACCAGCUUGCUGGUUCUGGAUGAGUGGCGAACGGGUGAGUAACACGUGAGUAACCUGCCCCCUUCUUCUGGAUAACCGCAUGAAAGUGUGGCUAAUACGGGAUAUUCUGGGUCUGUCGCAUGGCGGGCCCGGGAAAGAUAUUGCUUCGGUGGGGGAUGGGCUCGCGGCCUAUCAGCUUGUUGGUGGGGUGAUGGCCUACCAAGGCGGUGACGGGUAGCCGGCCUGAGGGGGUGGACGGUCACACUGGGACUGAGACACGGCCCAGACUCCUACGGGAGGCAGCAGUGGGGAAUAUUGCACAAUGGGCGCAAGCCUGAUGCAGCGACGCCGCGUGAGGGAUGGAGGCCUUCGGGUUGUAAACCUCUUUCGCCAGUGAAGCAGGCCUGCUCCCUGUGGGUGGGUUGACGGUAGCUGGAGAAGAAGCGCCGGCUAACUACGUG